GUUAAAUCCGGCCGCCCUCUUGGUUGUCUUGGCAACCGCAUCAACGCGCUCCGGCCCCGCCCUCCGCGCAGGCGCAGGGGACCGAUGAUCGCGCAUUACUUCCUGGAGAUGGAUAAUCUCACAUUACUGCCCCCUGGCGGCCCAACGGAAGUAUCCUCCAGGCUUCGCCUGGCCCCCAGGUGGCCUCCAGCGCUAAAGGUCAUCGAGUCCCGCCGCGAUCUGGUCCGGGGGGCUAAUUACACCCCGUCUUCCCCGGCCUCCCGCCUGACCGCCCACCACGCUGGAUGCCCCCGCAACCCAGUCAUUGUCUUCAGGGCGAUGGCCAUCCCCUCCCAGGCACAUCCCCCUCCUAGGAAGAGGCUGGAGCCCAGUUUAUUCCAAAUUUUCACGUCUUUUUUUAAUUU